ensembl:snRNA U6 U6 spliceosomal RNA
GUGCUUGCUUUGGUAGCACAUAUUUUAUGCUAAAAUUAAACUGAUACAUAGAAGGCUAGAAUGGCCCAUGCUCAAGGAUGAUGUACCAAAAAAGUGAAGAUUCACUAUGAAUU